rnacentral:rRNA from 1 species
GACGAACGCUGGCGGCGUGCUUAACACAUGCAAGUCGAACGGAAAGGCCCUGCUUUUGUGGUGGGCUCGAGGGGCGAACGGGUGAGUAACACGUGAGUAACCUGCCCUUGACUUUGGGAUAACGUCAGGAAACUGGGGCUAAUACCGGAUAUGAGCUCCUGCUGCAUGGUGGGGGUUGGAAAGUUUCGGCGGUUGGGGAUGGACUCGCGGCUUAUCAGCUUGCUGGUGGGGUAGUGGCUGACCAAGGCUUUGACGGGUAGCCGGCCUGAGAGGGUGACCGGCCACAUUGGGACUGAGAUACCGCCAAGCAUCCUAGGGGAGGCAGGAGUGGGGAAUAUUGCACAAUGGGCGGAAGCCUGCGGCAGCAACGCCGCGUGCGGGAUGACGGCCUUCGGGUUGUAAACCGCUUGCGCCUGUGACGAAGCGUGAGUGACGGUAAUGGGUAAAGAAGCACCGGCUAACUACGUG